AACGAACGCUGACGGCGUGCUUCAUACAUGCAAGUCGAGCGGAUGUAGCAAUACAUCAGCGGCGAACGGGUGCGUAACACGUGAACAAUCUGCCCUCAGGUUUGGGAUAACGGCUCCAACGAGCCGCUAAUACCGGUUAGGUUAGUUUGGUCGCAUGGCCGAAUUAAGAAAGGUGCAAUUGCAUCGCCUGAGGAUGAGUUCGCGGACCAUUAGCUAGUUGGUGGGGUAAAGGCCCACCAAGGCUACGAUGGUUAGCCGGCCUGAGAGGGUGAUCGGCCACAUUGGGACUGAGAUACGGCCCAGACUCCUACGGGAGGCAGCAGUAGGGAAUUUUGCGCAAUGGACGAAAGUCUGACGCAGCAACGCCGUGUGAGGGAUGAAGCAUUUCGGUGUGUAAACCUCUGUCGUUGGUGACUAAAGUUUUCAGGAGUGGAAAGCCUGGAGAUUGAAUGUAGCCAAGAAGGAAGCACUGGCUAACUCUGUGCCAGCAGCCGCGGUAAUACAGGGAGUGCAAGCGUUGUUCGGAAUUA
rnacentral:rRNA from 1 species